CAGUGCACUGUUCACAACCUGUUAUUAUAUACCAAAAGAUACUGACAGUUAUCAGACUGGUUUCAUCCAGAGAGCCGAGAGAAAAAUAUCUAGAGCCACAAAGUGCAGAAAUGGCUUUUGUAGACCCAUUUUUAAAUAUUUUUCAGGCCAUUCACCUUGGAAAAAUAAUCACUAUAAAAUAAGCAGCAU
rnacentral:lncRNA from 1 species